rnacentral:lncRNA from 1 species
CGCUUACCUUUCGCCCACUGCAGGGAUCCUUCCUUUAAAUCACUCUUACAAUAGAGGACGGAGGAAAGAGAGCUGUUUUUCUCAAUCCCACCAGCCGGGCUUUUACAGGCCAUGCUGAAGGCACCGCUCCUUAAGAACUUUGUGCCGUAGCGUCAGCGAUUCAGAUCCUCCUGGACCUCCCUUAUCGCACAGCAGCAGGCAGCUCGCUCUCCUCGCCGGGGACCAGGUUGGGAAAUCCUCAUUCAGACUCCCACUGGCGACUUCCUUGAGAUUCUGCUCUCCAUUGGCAUGGCAGCAUUUCCUGGCCCUCAUCCAGCUGUGCUCCCGGGGUGCAGACUCUUCUCCCUCCUCCUCCUCACUGCCCCACACCGCCCAUCGCUGUGCCCUGCAGGUUGGGGAGGUCCCACUGCUGGGACGCACAGCGCAGGCGAGCUCCGGCACCUCUGCACUCCCAUCACCCCGCGCCACAGGCAU